CUCAACCAUGUCUGACGCCAUAAAACCUUACAUAAAAAUGUGUUGAGUGUGUCGUUAAAUGAAAUAUUUCCUUCCUUCAUUCAUAAGAUGUUUAUAUAUUUACCUUUGUUUGACACCCAAUAUACAAUGGCCGAUGUGUAUUUCAUGCUUGUGUGUCGUUAAACAAUCAUUCAUUUAUAAGCGAUAUGUUAUUUACCAAUUUAUAUACUUGGUUUUGUAUAUAAGGUUGUGAUUAUUUAUCAGACCACAGCAUUUUAACACAUUUGUGUCUGACGUAAUUUCAGUCAUCCAUUUUUAAAUGGGUAUCACACUUAUUUAUAUUAUAAGUUAACAUUCCUGAUAUGUGAAGUAAACAUAAGCCCUACUGAAGCAAACUGGUGUAAGGUGCAUAAAAUGUGAAUUAACAAUAGUUAAUAAUAUGUAUAAUGUGUUAUGUUAGCAUUUUGCAUGUCACUGUUAAAGGCAUAAAUAAUAAUAAUAUUUCUGUUUACAUUUACACUGUAUUUGAGUUAGUUUUACAUAUGUAAUGUUAUAUGAAAGUAUUAAAUCUGCAUCCCCAUUUGAAAAUUGAUUUCAUUUUAUAUUUUGGGGUUACCCGAGUUGUAUAUGUUUGUUUAUACAUUUUUUAAAAAUCAAAUUUAAAAAACAGAUGAAACUAGAAUGUUAAAAAAAUUUGUUUUGGGGGAUUUUUUAUUUGACAUUUAGUUGAUGCCACAUGUGCAUUUACAUUUAUCAGGGUUUAGACGGAAGCUCAUAAAGUAUUAGCUAUUUGGCGAAUUCGCUUACAAAAUCUGUAGCCAAAUUCAAGUUUCAUUCAGCCAAACAGCAAAACUGGCAGUACGUAGAUCUAUAAACAGACCAUUUUUUUAUUAGCUUUUGUUGAAUUAGUAAUAAAAUACAUUCGCCAAUUACUUAAUUUGCAAUUAGGUGAUUUGGCAAGCAACAGCUUAAACCCUGAUUUAUGUUUAUUCCCACAAAGUCAGACUUGUAAAAAGUGUACAGGCAUGGUAUGUACAUGUAAUAACUUUUUGUGGAAUACAAUUAAUGUAAUAAUUCUUAUAUUUAUCUAUCUGUGUUAAUUAUAUUUUGUACUGCUCUUAACACUGUUUCAACUGAACUUAAUUUUUUUAUAGUGAUUUGAGUAUUUCACGUAUUUAUCAUUGCUUGACACCCAAUAGCCAAUGAAAUUUUCAUCUGGGGUGUCAUUAAACAAGUGCUUAUGUGUUGUGUAAUAAAUAAAAACUUUAACAUGUACAUGUUGCACAUACACAUACAUUAAUUUCAUCAUGCACAAUGACACUGAUAAUCUAACCUUCUUUUCACAGUGUAAUAUUCAAAGUUCCAUAGAAAUACUCAUCUUUAAAGUAUGAAACAAAUUAUAUAUAUAUUAUAUGGAUGUCUACAUACCAAACCAAAUUCAAGAAACAAUUUACAGUGUUAAUGUUAUGGUGGGUUUCUUUAUACUAGUAUUUUAAAAGAGAACCAAGGAUUUCCAGGAUUCAUAGUAUGGUGGAUUUCUGUAUGGCAAACCAAAACCAAGGAAGUGUUUGUUGUGGUAAUUCAUGUUAUGGUGGAUUACUAUAUAACAAACCAAAACUAAAAAAGAGUUUGAAGUGUUAAUUCAAGUUAUGAGUGUCAUUCAAUUUGAAAUUGUUCAUAAUCUUGCAAUGAAUCAAGAAUCGAAGAACAUUGUGAAUUGUACAACAUCAUGUGUUUAUUGUAACUAAUAGACAUACCAUGUGUUUUUGAAAUUGUGAUGGAUGAAAUCCAUGUUUAACUGUACAAGAUCUAAUGUACAGCUUUCAUACAAGUUGCUACUGCGGUGCAUUAUCAGUUAUAUGACUUAAUCUACCAUCUUGGUACAGAGUAUACCCCAGUAUGACAUGAUCUACCAUAAUCAUGUGAACUUUACAUGUCAACAUGAUGUAAACCUAGAUCUACAUGCUAAGAUGUGUGGAUGAUUCGACAUAAUGUAUGUUCAAGUGUGUACAUCAGUACGGUUGUUCAAUCAACAGAAAAAUAUCCGGAUCACUAGAUUUGACAUCUUCUUCACACUACAAAGAAGACCUCAGAAUUCUGUGUAUAGUGAAGGAACUACUGUUGCCCAUAGAACUUAACAUUCAGUGGUUGGUCGGCCUUAAUUUGGUACAUACCCACAAUUCAAGGCUUUAUGAAAAUAUAUAUUCCAGACUUGAUAUACGGACAUGGUGAAAGCCAAUAGCAGAGUACAGUUAUUUCCAUUGUUCUUGCUGCCUGUCAUUUACACCAAAGAUGGCAAUGUGGGACCAAAAGAAGGAUUUAUUCUAAGUGCUCAGAGAUUAAAUAAUAUGCUGGUGUUUCGAUAAACAACCAUUCCUUUCAUUUGAUAUAGCAGUAUGUUAUACCACCAGGCUGGGAAGUUCUAAAUUUGAUUAAUCAUCAAAACAAGAUGUUUCUGGAUUUUUACAUAGAAAAGCCUGGGAUGCUUUAUUGUGAAACUGGGAUGUCACUAAGUCUUUGUGACUUAGUAUUGUAAAACUAAAAAUCAAAUUCUGCUUGUUAAAAGGCAUUACACCAACUUGGAUGGUUUUGGUGUGGUUUUGUUUGUUGUUUUUCUAAAGGGAACAUUUGUUGAAGUAUUGAGGUUAUUGGAAAAAAACUAUUGGACAUGUAACUAUAGUUGUCACAGUGCCUAUGUUUAUGUUACUGUUUAGUAUACUAUUCAACUUUCACUAGGGAUAUUUGGAAAACAAAUGUCAAGUAAAGGACUGUAUUUACUGUGUCCAUUGGAUGACAUCUAAUUGGAGUCAUACAUUACUAUGGAGAUGUAUGGAACAUCCAAACUGUAUAAUCUCAUUGAUCACAUGUUGCACAAAUUGAAGAUGUGCACAAAUUGUUUAUCAUGGACAUAUAUUUGGUAUAUUCCUAGUGAAAAUUGCAUAGUAUUAGUAUAUUUAUACAUCAUUGACAAAUGUAGGGGAUAACCGUACUGUGUUUUCCGAUUUGCGGACGUAUAUCAGUGGUUUUACUGUCGCCAAUAAAACGGUAAAUUUGCUACUAUAAAACCACCGAUAUACGUCCGCAAAUCGGAAAACGGUAGGGUUAUCCCUAUUCUAAUUAAACUGUUUGCUGGUUGAUUUUAAAUAGGAAAUUGUCACAUUUGUAGUAAGAAUAAGCCUAUAAAUGUCACCAGCUGGUAAUGUCAUUAGGCAGCCCAUUAACAGACGAUGGGUGGUCGGACAGUUAGUGGCUCGAACAUAGAUGUGUAAUUUGACAUAUUUAACCUGCUCUCAUGAUUAGAUACUGACUAAUAAAGAAUAAUAUGUUCAUUUCUGACAUAAAAACGUCUCAGUAUUUAACGACUUAUGUAUGUAAUAUGAACGCUACAGAAAUUGUCUUUAUGACGUCAUUACAAAACAACCCUGUUCUUCGCUUAACCUAUGACGUAUUUCUGCCAGAAAAUUUGCGACCGGUAUAUCGGUGAUUUUACCACCUGAAAUUUUUAGCAGAGAUCCAAUCAGAUUCGUUCUUACAAAUGUGUUGAAUUAGAAUAAUGGGUAUUUUUUAUCUUGCCACUAUGGUUUGUACUAACCAAGACUGUAUAAAGUAAAGUGAUUCACUAUCAAUUAUUGCCUAUCACAUGACCAGUCAGACCUCAAUUGGGGGUUUUUAAAUAUAUUUUCAAUUGCAUAUUCUUUGCAUCGUUAAUUCCAAUACAGUACUGAAAUAAAGUUUUGUGUUGUAACUAUAACGAAAAUUUGAUUUUUUUAGUACAAAUUAUAGGCUGUAUUUAUGAAGCCUUUUUUUCUUAAACGCAGGCAUUUAAACAUUGAAAAUGCAUGUAGUUACACAUGUGUAAGUCAAAAACAGGCUCUGUAAAUUUGGCCCUAUAACUUUAAAAACUAUCUUUAACAUUACAAAUAAUAACGUCUUACAAAAAUGAAAGAAAAAAGCUUGCUUUGUUUAGCUUAAGGACAUCAAAAGUCAGGAACAAAUAUUAUUUCCACACUCAUCUUGUUGAGUUGCAGGAUAAACACAAUUUCAGGAUAAUUACAUAGGUUUCCAGCUUUAUCCUUUUCAAGGGGCGAGACGUAGCCCAGUGGUAAAGCGCUCACUUGAUGCUCAGUCGGUUUGGGAUCAAUCCCCGUCAUUGGGCUAUUUCUCGCUCCAGCACCAUGACUGGUACAUCAAAGGCCAUG